rnacentral:tRNA from 2 species
GUCCCGAUGUGGUAGCGGAUAUCCUUAGGGCUUGCGGAGCCUUAGACCCGGGUUCGAGUCCCGGCCGGGACGC